AGGCUGCCUUCCUAGCUAUGAAGAGAACUGGAGGAAAACUUAUGUUUUGGGAUCAACUGGCAUUGGAGCUCUUUUUACCAGAGAAGCUGAAGGAAGAGCUAGUGUAUCUGCGGGAGAGAAGGGUACAAGUGUCACACACGCUUCUCAUAUAUCAUUUGGUUUGUCAUUUUUAUGAAUAAUAUAAAAUUAGAGUAAUUUUAUCGUAAGAUCCAUUAAUAGAGUAUCAAAUUGAAAUAUUUAGAUUGUUAUUAGGACUUAGAGGUGGCUUGAGUUUUUUUAUGUAUUUAUUUAUUUAUUUUAUUGAUAAUGUUGAAAGAUGUUAUAAGUUAGCUUACAUUAUAUGUUAAUGAGAACUUUAAAUUUCUUUUGA